rnacentral:lncRNA from 1 species
AUUUCCCCACUUAAGGAGAUUUCUAAGGGGCCAUUUCUGUUUUUAUCUUUUCUGGAUUAUCCUCAGGUUGGAUUUCACUUUGGAAGAGAGUACAUCAUUUCCUGCCAUCAGCAGUUUGAAAAAUGCUUAUUAGGAUGGGUACUCCCUGGAAGAUUCUCCCAAGCAAGUCCAUUUUAACAGAGAUCUUUGCUGUAAGGAGACAAGCAUGGGUUCCAAGGUAAUGGCAGAGAUGUUUGCCUCCCAUGGUCGUGCUUGCCUCUCACCCUACCCUUACUUGGUCUUCCUCGUGCCUGGUUUGUGGAUAAACCCAUCAGACCACAUCCCUAAAGGAGUGUUCUAUUAAUAUGCUGUGAAGACUCUGUGCCUUCUCUUCCCUCUCUCCCCAGGACAAGCAAGGUAUCAAUUCCAUUUUGCAGACCCACACUGUCAAUGCCCAGUGUGUGGUAGACUUGGCAGAU